GACGAACGCUGGCGGCGUGCCUAACACAUGCAAGUCGAGCGGGGUUGAAGCGAGGGGUAACUCGAACUUCUACCUAGCGGCGGACGGGUGAGUAACGCGUGGGCAACCUGCCUCAAGGUCUGGGAUAACAGCUCGAAAGGGCUGCUAAUACCGGAUAUGCCUAUAGCCUCGCAUGGGGCUAUGAGCAAAGGGGAAACCCGCCUUGAGAUGGGCCCGCGUCCCAUCAGCUAGUUGGUGAGGUGAAGGCUCACCAAGGCGACGACGGGUAGCCGGCCUGAGAGGGUGACCGGCCACACUGGGACUGAGACACGGCCCAGACUCCUACGGGGGCAGCAGUGGGGAAUCUUGCACAAUGGGCGAAAGCCUGAUGCAGCGACGCCGCGUGAGCGAAGAAAGGCCUCGGUUGUAAAGACUCUGUCUGGAGGGACGGAAGAAAGUAGAACGGUAACCGUCCGGACGGAAGACCGACCGGCUAACUAACGUCGCCAGCAGCCGCGGUAAACGUAAGACGUG
rnacentral:rRNA from 1 species